AUCUUAUAUCUUCCGAGGGCAAUCUUAUCCCACUCACCCUCUCUCCUCUCAUUUCUCCUCUCUCUCUAGAUCUCUCCUCUGUCUCAAUCCAGUCUCAAUCCAGGAGUAGGAUGUGGCGCCGACGGUGCCGGUGUUGAUCUCUCCUCUGCACGGUGCGGCGGGAUGAAGAUGGGGGAUGCGGCGCAGCGCUGGCGAUGGUGGACGCACGGUUCUGCGCGGCAGACGCGGCGUCACUGGCCGUGGCGAAGACUGAGCAUGUCCGGGAGCGACUUCCGACGCGCUCGUGCUGCGCGUGGAUGGCGUGCUGUUCAGCCUCCGCAGACGGUGCUUCCUCGUUGACGCCGACGGCCGCCCCGUCCUCACCGUCCAAGAAUCGAUCGACCGGCGAUUCAUCGUGGUGAGCGCGCUGCUGGGGAAGAACACGUAUAGCGUCACCGUCAACCAGGCAUCGACUACGCUUCGUCGUCGCGCUCAUCGUCAUCCUCGACGAGAUGCAUUACCAGCGAUGACACACACAGCAGUUUUGAUCCGAAGCCUCAGUUUUGCUGCCCCUGACAACUCGAAGCAUUUUGUACUUGUAUUGAGGCCUUGUUGUCCUGUAUGUCUAUGCAAAUGGUUCUAACCCAGCGUUAAAGUUA